UGCUCUUUUAAAACUGAAGCUUCUUUGUGUUAUUUUUGUUAUUGCGACAAGAAUAUAAAUAUAAAUGGCCUCUAGGGCAUUUGUCAAGUUGAGCACGAAAGCAUUCCUGGGGACUCAGGGUCUGCAGCUAAAUUCAAAGGGCAA
rnacentral:lncRNA from 1 species